rnacentral:rRNA from 1 species
UACGGGGGGAGCAAGCGUUGUUCGGAUUUACUGGGCGUAAAGGGCUCGUAGGCGGCCAACUAAGUCAGACGUGAAAUCCCCAGGCUCAACCUGGGAACUGCGUCUGAUACUGGAUGGCUUGAAUUCGGGAGAGGGAUGCAGAAUUCCAGGUGUAGCGGUGAAAUGCGUAGAUAUCUGGAGGAAUACCGGUGGCGAAGGCGGCAUCCUGGACCGGAACUGACGCUGAGGCGCGAAAGCGUGGGUAGCAAACGGG